AAGAGGAUGGCAAAGAUUAAAAAAUGAAUGACGUCAUUGCGAAUAAUUGCGAAUGCGUCGAUAUGGUUCUUUUUGGCAAAAUUUGCUACAAGACAUGCACAGUGAUGUCGAUUUGCAGGUGGACAUCGAAUGGUUCUUUUUGGCAAAAUUUGCUACAAGACAUGCACAGUGAUGUCGAUUUGCAGGUGGACAUCGAAAAAAGUAUAAUUAGCUGGUGGACACCCUAGUUUAUGAUAGUUUGCUGGAGGACACCACAUCAAUUAAAAUAAUAUUUUUGGAUUGAACAGGAGAAAGAAAUAGGGUGAAUGGUCAUUUUUAC
rnacentral:lncRNA from 1 species